rnacentral:rRNA from 1 species
UAGCUGAAAUUGCUGCCCCGCGUGAGGGUUUCUUCCGCCGCCGUGCCUCCAUCCGUCCACCGCCGCCGUCCCUCCCACUCUGCGGCAUCCUUCCUCGAUCCGCGGUCGUCAAAUCAAAUCAAGACGAGAUCGGCAGGAUACACCGUAUCUCGCGCGACACCCAGCUGCAGCUGCCCGUGAGAUACAACCAUCAAUCUCGACGAGUUCCCGACGAUCAGAUCCAGGAUGCGGUGGACGACGGUGGCGAGAAGUGGCUAGAUGAAGGUCGCAUGGCCGUGUGCGGGUGGGCAGUCAGCACAAGAGGAGCAGCAGCGAUGUGUAUCUCAUCCUGCGGGGGGACAAGGAGGAUGGGAUGGAGCCUCCUGCAGUGGAGGACGACGAAGGGGCGUGGCGCCGCCCCUCCUCAGUGGAGGACGAUGACAAGGAGAUGCCGACGGCGUGAGAUUCCAAUUGAGACUUGCAGCGGCGGCAAAGUGAGGGCACGUGGCGACAGCGGAUCGAAAGCCACGGCAGCAGAUCGGUACCUUUGACUUUUUGGUGAAGCGAAGAAGUGAAGGACUAUCCUUCCUUUCAUACCUAAAAUGACCUGGAGCUUGAAGACAACAAGGGGCCAUAGGAUAUCCAUAGGAUUCAUGGAAAAACAUUCUUCUAUGAUUUUCUCCCCGAAACUGAAAUUAUUUCGCCCCUAAAUUCAAAUCCUUUUGAGAGAGUGAGUAUUUAUGAGUAUGCUCUAUUGAUGUGACAAACUUGAAUACAACAAGGACUGGAAAGUAACUGCAUUUCUCACCCUUCCACUUAUAUUCAAGGCAACAUCAAACUUCAGUCAGAAGAACAUGACCAGGCAGGGAGCUUCCUACAACACUGGAUGUGAGAAAGUUUGGCAUUAGCAAGUGCGGCCACCACUCUGCCCCUCCCCUUUGCACUAUCCUUGGCUACCUUGUUGCUCACUUCGUGUGUGGCCACUUCAUCCCCAACCUAUCAGAGCAGAGUCUGGUAGACUGGUGGACAAAAGACUACACCAGUUUCAGUUUCAUGUCUUGUACGGUUGGAACUUACAAAAUUUAUUAUGUUCAGUGC